GGGAGCUCCACAGACUCGGGCAUCACGGGCAUCACGACCCGAGCCGAUUGCAGACGCUUCACCAGGUUCGAAUUCAGCUACAUAUGCCUGUGCAUACGCAAGCCCCGAGUGUCCCUGACCUCUCACUGGCGGCAGGCUGGAGGCCCCCCCCACCAUCCCAGGAGCUGGAUUCAGGGAAGCAUGCGAUUAGGGGCCUCCUGAAGGACUUCUCCCCAUGCCUGAGGAUCCAGUCCAGGACACUUCACUGCAUUUAAUCACCAAGUCUCCUAAGAUAAAAAAAAAUAAAUAAAAA